ACCCGAAACCCGGUGAUCUAGCCAUGGGCAGGUUGAAGGUUGGGUAACACUAACUGGAGGACCGAACCGACUAAUGUUGAAAAAUUAGCGGAUGACUUGUGGCUGGGGGUGAAAGGCCAAUCAAACCGGGAGAUAGCUGGUUCUCCCCGAAAGCUAUUUAGGUAGCGCCUCGUGAAUUCAUCUCCGGGGGUAGAGCACUGUUUCGGCAAGGGGGUCAUCCCGACUUACCAACCCGAUGCAAACUGCGAAUACCGGAGAAUGUUAUCACGGGAGACACACGGCGGGUGCUAACGUCCGUCGUGAAGAGGGAAACAACCCAGACCGCCAGCUAAGGUCCCAAAGUCAUGGUUAAGUGGGAAACGAUGUGGGAAGGCCCAGACAGCCAGGAUGUUGGCUUAGAAGCAGCCAUCAUUUAAAGAAAGCGUAAUAGCUCACUGGUCGAGUCGGCCUGCGCGGAAGAUGUAACGGGGCUAAACCAUGCACCGAAGCUGCGGCAGCGACGCUUAUGCGUUGUUGGGUAGGGGAGCGUUCUGUAAGCCUGUGAAGGUGUACUGUGAGGUAUGCUGGAGGUAUCAGAAGUGCGAAUGCUGACAUAAGUAACGAUAAAGCGGGUGAAAAGCCCGCUCGCCGGAAGACCAAGGGUUCCUGUCCAACGUUAAUCGGGGCAGGGUGAGUCGACCCCUAAGGCGAGGCCGAAAGGCGUAGUCGAUGGGAAACAGGUUAAUAUUCCUGUACUUGGUGUUACUGCGAAGGGGGGACGGAGAAGGCUAUGUUGGCCGGGCGACGGUUGUCCCGGUUUAAGCGUGUAGGCUGGUUUUCCAGGCAAAUCCGGAAAAUCAAGGCUGAGGCGUGAUGACGAGGCACUACGGUGCUGAAGCAACAAAUGCCCUGCUUCCAGGAAAAGCCUCUAAGCAUCAGGUAACAUCAAAUCGUACCCCAAACCGACACAGGUGGUCAGGUAGAGAAUACCAAGGCGCUUGAGAGAACUCGGGUGAAGGAACUAGGCAAAAUGGUGCCGUAACUUCGGGAGAAGGCACGCUGAUAUGUAGGUGAAGCGACUUGCUCGUGGAGCUGAAAUCAGUCGAAGAUACCAGCUGGCUGCAACUGUUUAUUAAAAACACAGCACUGUGCAAACACGAAAGUGGACGUAUACGGUGUGACGCCUGCCCGGUGCCGGAAGGUUAAUUGAUGGGGUUAGCGCAAGCGAAGCUCUUGAUCGAAGCCCCGGUAAACGGCGGCCGUAACUAUAACGGUCCUAAGGUAGCGAAAUUCCUUGUCGGGUAAGUUCCGACCUGCACGAAUGGCGUAAUGAUGGCCAGGCUGUCUCCACCCGAGACUCAGUGAAAUUGAACUCGCUGUGAAGAUGCAGUGUACCCGCGGCAAGACGGAAAGACCCCGUGAACCUUUACUAUAGCUUGACACUGAACAUUGAGCCUUGAUGUGUAGGAUAGGUGGGAGGCUUUGAAGUGUGGACGCCAGUCUGCAUGGAGCCGACCUUGAAAUACCACCCUUUAAUGUUUGAUGUUCUAACGUUGACCCGUAAUCCGGGUUGCGGACAGUGUCUGGUGGGUAG
rnacentral:rRNA from 1 species